rnacentral:tmRNA from 1 species
GGGGAUGACAGGCUUCGACAGGGAGGGCUGGUCAGCGACUGCAGGCCGAGGUGCCUCACCCUCGAUAAUCAGGGGCAAAACAAUAAGUGCCAAUAACACUUAUGCUCCGGCUUACGCAAUGGCCGCCUAGGCGACCUAACGUAGCCAACUGAUCGGCAAAGCCGGUCACGUCCGCCUCCUUGCUUUGCCCGAGAGCGGGAGAGCGGGCGUCGAACAAGUCGGGAUGCGGUCGGCGCGACGUCGAUACCGUCGACCAAAGAUCCAUCGACUGGCCGAGCAGGAACUCUGCUAGACGAGGUCCGCCCGGUAAGAACCAAAGGUCUGGCUAAGCCUGUAGUAUGUCUCUGGUCGAACUCUUUGGACGCGGGUUCGAUUCCCGCCAUCUCCACCU